AAUGGCCUACGGCUGAACCAGCAACUUGGAGGAAUGUAUAGGGAAAGCUGGUAAAAAGGUGAUUACCUAGUUAUAUUAGUGAUUAAUAUAAGAUUAACAAAGUUAAAUAAAGUUCUAAGUAGAUAUUGAUUAUGACAGUAUUUGCUUAUGUCUUGACCAAGUCACGUGCCAGCAGUCGCGGUAAUACGUGGAAGAUUAGUGUUAUUCAUAUUUAAAAGGUUUAAAGGGUACCUAGACGGUUAAUAAAACACAUAAAUGUAUUAAUUAACUAGAGUUUAAUAUAAGAAAGAUCGAGUACGGUGAGUGUAGAGAUAAUAUUUUAUGAUACCACUUAGGAACUGGUAAGGCGAAGGCAACUUUAUAUGUAAAAA
rnacentral:rRNA from 1 species